rnacentral:rRNA from 1 species
CAGCCGCCGCGGGAAUACGGAGGGUGCAAGCGUUAAUCGGAAUUACUGGGCGUAAAGCGUGCGUAGGCGGUUCGUUAAGUCUGUUGUGAAAGCCCCGGGCUCAACCUGGGAAUGGCAAUGGAUACUGGCGAGCUAGAGUGUGUCAGAGGAUGGUGGAAUUCCCGGUGUAGCGGUGAAAUGCGUAGAGAUCGGGAGGAACAUCAGUGGCGAAGGCGGCCAUCUGGACUGGUAUUGACGCUGAGGUGCGAAAGCGUGGGGAGCAAACAGGAUUAGAUACCCCUGUAGUCCCUGUCUCUUAUAC